rnacentral:rRNA from 1 species
AAACGAAAUUCAUGAAUCAUGUUUAUUGGACUCAGCCGUUCUUCGGUGUACUUCCUUUAAACGGGUCAACAUCAGUUUUGUCCGAUGGAUAAAGGUAGUAGGAAGGUGGCUCUCUCGGGAGUGUUAU